CCGGUUCUCUUUGGGGAGUAGCCAGCUUCCGAAUCACUCGGAAGAGCCCGUGUCAACAUUCUCGACUUUCUGUCGUGGCACGGGUAGCCAAUGCGGUAGGCGAGACCAUUGACGUUUCCAUGCCUUUGGUCGGGCGUGUGGCGACGUCAUGGAUUUCGCCCGACCCGGAACCA
rnacentral:sRNA from 2 species